rnacentral:rRNA from 1 species
GGGGCUGUAGCCGGUCCCAAGGGUAUGGCUGUUCGCCAUUUAAAGUGGUACGCGAGCUGGGUUUAGAACGUCGUGAGACAGUUUGGUCCCUAUCUGCCGUGGGCGCUGGAGACUUGAGAGGAGCUGCUCCUAGUACGAGAGGACCGGAGUGGACGUACCUCUGGUGUUCCAGUUGUCACGCCAGUGGCAUUGCUGGGUAGCUAUGUACGGAAGGGAUAACCGCUGAAAGCAUCUAAGCGGGAAGCCCCCCUCAAGAUGAGGUCUCCCUGGAUCCGCGAGAUCCCUCAAGGGUCGUCGUAGACUACGACGUUGAUAGGCGGGAUGUGGAAGCGUUGUAAGGCGUUAAGCUAACCCGUACUAAUAGCCCGUGAGGCUUGACCAU